rnacentral:rRNA from 1 species
ACAGGCUUAGAUACCCUGGUAGUCCACCCCGUAAACGUUGGGAACUAGUUGUGGGGACCAUUCCACGGUUUCCGUGACGCAGCUAACGCAUUAAGUUCCCCGCCUGGGGAGUACGGCCGCAAGGCUAAAACUCAAAGGAAUUGACGGGGACCCGCACAAGCGGCGGAGCAUGCGGAUUAAUUCGAUGCAACGCGAAGAACCUUACCAAGGCUUGACAUAUACGAGAACGGGCCAGAAAUGGUCAACUCUUUGGACACUCGUAAACAGGUGGUGCAUGGUUGUCGUCAGCUCGUGUCGUGAGAUGUUGGGUUAAGUCCCGCAACGAGCGCAACCCUCGUUCUAUGUUGCCAGCACGUAAUGGUGGGAACUCAUGGGAUACUGCCGGGGUCAACUCGGAGGAAGGUGGGGAUGACGUCAAAUCAUCAUGCCCCUUAUGUCUUGGGCUUCACGCAUGCUACAAUGGCCGGUACAAAGGGCUGCAAUACCGUAAGGUGGAGCGAAUCCCAAAAAGCCGGUCCCAGUUCGGAUUGAGGUCUGCAACUCGACCUCAUGAAGUCGGAGUCGCUAGUAAUCGCAGAUCAGCAACGCUGCGGUGAAUACGUUCCCGGGUCUUGUACACACCGCCCGUCAAGUCAUGAAAGUCGGUAACACCUGAAGCCGGUGGCCCAACCCUUGUGGAGGGAGCCGUCGAAGGUGGGAUCGGUAA